rnacentral:rRNA from 1 species
AAUAUUGCACAAUGGGGGAAACCCUGAUGCAGCGACGCCGCGUGAGCGAAGAAGGCCUUCGGGUCGUAAAGCUCUGUCCUAAGGGAAGAAACGGACGGUACCAGAGGAGGAAGCCCCGGCUAACUACGUGCCAGCAGCCGCGGUAAUACGUAGGGGGCGAGCGUUGUCCGGAAUUACUGGGCGUAAAGGGUGCGUAGGCGGCCUAUUAAGUUGUGUGUGAAAGACUGGGGCUUAACCCCAGGGUUGCAUGCAAAACUGGUAGGCUUGAGUGCAGGAGAGGAGAGUGGAAUUCCCGGUGUAGCGGUGGAAUGCGUAGAUAUCGGGAGGAACACCAGUGGCGAAGGCGACUCUCUGGACUGUAACUGACGCUGAGGCACGAAAGCUGGGGGAGCAAAC